rnacentral:rRNA from 2 species
GACGAACGCUGGCGGCGUGCCUAAUACAUGCAAGUCGAACGCUUCUUUCCUCCCGAGUGCUUGCACUCAAUUGGAAAGAGGAGUGGCGGACGGGUGAGUAACACGUGGGUAACCUACCCAUCAGAGGGGGAUAACACUUGGAAACAGGUGCUAAUACCGCAUAACAGUUUAUGCCGCAUGGCAUAAGAGUGAAAGGCGCUUUCGGGUGUCGCUGAUGGAUGGACCCGCGGUGCAUUAGCUAGUUGGUGAGGUAACGGCUCACCAAGGCCACGAUGCAUAGCCGACCUGAGAGGGUGAUCGGCCACACUGGGACUGAGACACGGCCCAGACUCCUACGGGAGGCAGCAGUAGGGAAUCUUCGGCAAUGGACGAAAGUCUGACCGAGCAACGCCGCGUGAGUGAAGAAGGUUUUCGGAUCGUAAAACUCUGUUGUUAGAGAAGAACAAGGACGUUAGUAACUGAACGUCCCCUGACGGUAUCUAACCAGAAAGCCACGGCUAACUACGU